GACGAACGCUGGCGGCGUGCCUAAUACAUGCAAGUUGAGCGCUGAAGGUUGGUACUUGUACCAACUGGAUGAGCAGCGAACGGGUGAGUAACGCGUGGGGAAUCUGCCUUUGAGCGGGGGACAACAUUUGGAAACGAAUGCUAAUACCGCAUAAAAACUUUAAACACAAGUUUUAAGUUUGAAAGAUGCAAUUGCAUCACUCAAAGAUGAUCCCGCGUUGUAUUAGCUAGUUGGUGAGGUAAAGGCUCACCAAGGCGAUGAUACAUAGCCGACCUGAGAGGGUGAUCGGCCACAUUGGGACUGAGACACGGCCCAAACUCCUACGGGAGGCAGCAGUAGGGAAUCUUCGGCAAUGGACGAAAGUCUGACCGAGCAACGCCGCGUGAGUGAAGAAGGUUUUCGGAUCGUAAAACUCUGUUGGUAGAGAAGAACGGUGGUGAGAGUGGAAAGCUCAUCAAGUGACGGUAACUACCCAGAAAGGGACGGCUAACUACGUG
rnacentral:rRNA from 1 species